ACUAGGGACAGGGAGAACUAGAUGGGUCUGUAAGGGACACAGAACAGCCAUGAGUGUUGCUGAUCUCCUGCAUGUGCCAAGCUGGGGGUGCUGCUGGUGUACACGGACCCUGCACUUCUCUGGGGUGGGCAUUCAGACUAUAAAGAAGCGAGCGAGUGGCAAAUAGGAAUCGAUGCAGAUGAGAAAUGAGCGGCAAGAGCCAUAUUUAACAAUUAGGAGGUGACAGCCCCCCAGUGGCCCCGCGCCAGAUUCAUCAUUGCGCUUCUCUCCCCAGACAGAACAGGGUGCAGGUUCCGGCCCAAAUGACAAGGCAAGAGAGAGACUGUGAGUCAAGUCGGAAGAAAAGACUAUUAAUUAAAAACCAUUCUCUUAUCUGCGCCUCCUGCCUGGAAACUGGGAACAAAUGGAAAACUGGCAGGAGCGGGAAAUGGGGCUCCAGCCAUUAACCCACUGGCUGCCACAUGCACUGAUUAACACCUUACAAAUAUAUGGCCUGGGGUUCAGUUCCAACCAGGGCUCGGUCUGUAUGAAGCUUUUAAACAUUAGGCUAUUUUGUUAAAUAACAACCCAAAAAUGA